GAAUUCACACACUGUAACGCGAGUGUUGUACACUUCUUUGUUAUUUGGACUGGGGUCUACAGACAGGAGGACCGCCAGCCCAGUGCCACAGCACAAGGUGGUCACCAGCCCAGCGCCACGAUGCAAGAUGGCCGCCAGUCCAGCGCCACAACACAAGGUGGUCGCCAGCCCAGCGUCACGAUGCAAGAUGGCCGCCAGCCCAGCGCCACUGCACAAGGUGGUCACCAGCCCAGCGCCACGAUGCAAGAUGGCCGCCAGCCCAGCGCCACAGCACAAGGUGGUCGCCAGCCCAGCGCCACGAUGCAAGAUGGCCGCCAGCCCAGCGCCACAGCACAAGGUGGUCGCCAGCCCAGCGCCAUGAUGCAAUAUGGUCGCCAGCCCAGUGCCACAGCACAAGGUGGUCGCCGACCAGCGCCACAGCACAAGAUGGCCACAAACCCAUCGCCACUGCCCAAGAGGGCCGCCGGCCCAGCGCCACUGCCCAAGAUGGCCGCCGGCCCAGCGCCACGGCCCAAGAAGGCUGCUUGUCCAGCGCCUCUGCACAGGAUGACAGUGACUGUUGACCCUCCAGAGUCCAGUCAGGUUCCCGUUGACCUUCCAGAGUCGAGUCAGGUUCCUGUUGACCUUCCAGAGUUGAGUCAGGUUCCCGUUGACCUUCCAGAGUCGAGUCAGGUUCCCGUUGACCUUCCAGAGUCAAGUCAGGUUCCCGUGGACCCUCCAGAGUCGAGUCAGGUUCCCGUGGACCCUCCAGAGUCGAGUCAGAUUCUCUUUGACCCUCCAGAGUUGAGUCAGGUUCCCGUUGACCCUCCAGAGUCAAGUCAGGUUCCUGUUGACCUUCCAGAGUCGAGUCAAGUCACUGUUGACCUCCUGGAGUCAGGGCUAGACACUGUUGACCUUCCAGAGUCAGGGCUAGUCACCGUUGACCUUCCAGAUUCAGGGCUAGUCACCAUUGACAUUCCAGAGUCAGGGCUAGUCACCGUUGACACUCCAGAGUCAAGUCAAGUCACCGGUGAUCUUCAUGGGCAAAGUCAAGUCACCAAUGAUCUUCAUGAACAAAUGCAAAUCACCAAUGAUCUUAAUGAGCAGAGUCAGGUCACCAAUGAUCUUCAUGAGCAGAGUCAAGUCACCAUUGAUAUUCAUGGACAAAGGCAAGUCACCAAUAAUCUUCAUGAGCAUAGUCAGGUCACCAAUUAUCUUCAUGAGCAGAGUCAAGUCAUCAUUGAUCUUCCUGAAUCCAGUCUAAACUCUGCUGAAUUACCAGAGCCUCUCAACAUCUCUGCUGAGCUACCAGAGCCUCUCAACGUCUCUGCUGAACUACCAGAGCCUCUCAACGUCUCUGCUGAACCACCAG
rnacentral:lncRNA from 1 species